rnacentral:rRNA from 1 species
CAAGUCGAACGAGAAUCCCUGCUUCGGCGGGUGGACAGUGGCAGACGGCUGAGUAACGCGUGGGAAUCAACCCUAGACACAGGGAUAGCUCAUCGAAAGGUGGGGUAAAACCUGAUAGUCCCAUACAGUUUUUACUGUAUGGGUAAAACUUCGGUGGUCUAGGACGAGCCCGCGUACUAUCAGGUUGUUGGUGAGGUAAAAUGCUCACCAAGCCUAAUGAACGGGUAAGCUGGUUUGAGAGGACGGACAGCCAGACUGGGACUGUGACACGGCCCAGACUCCUACGGGAGGCAGCAAUUAGGAAUCGUGCGCAAUGGACGGAAGUCUGACGCCGCGACGCCGCGUGGAGGAUGAAUGCCUACGGGUUGUAAACUCCUUUUAUGAGGGAACAAGUUUCUGAGUGUACCUCAUGAAUAAGCACCUGCUAACUACGUGCCAGAAGCAUCGGUAAUACGUAGGGUGCGAGCGUUAUCCGGAAUUAUUGGGCGCAAAGAGACGCGUAGGCGACUCGGUAAGUCUGAUGUUAAAUCUCAAUGCUCAACAUUGAGACUGCAUUAGAUACUGUCGUGAUUGAGUAAAGUAGAGGAGAGGGGAAUUCCUGGUGGAGCGGUGCAAUGCGUUGAUAUCAGGAGGAACGCCAAUGGCGAAGGCGUCUCUCUGGACUUAUACUGACGCUGAGGGUCGAAAGUGUGGGUAGCGAAGCGGAUUAGAUACCCGUGUAGUCCACACUGU